rnacentral:tRNA from 1 species
GAACUCAUAGCUCAGUUGGUUAGAGCUCGUGAUUUUUUAAUCUCGGAGUCGCAAGUUCGAGUCUUGCUGGGUUCA